UAGGGAAUCUUCCACAAUGGACGCAAGUCUGAUGGAGCAACGCCGCGUGAGUGAAGAAGGUUUUCGGACCGUAAAGCUCUGUUGUUGGUGAAGAAGGAUAGAGGUAGUAACUGGCCUUUAUUUGACGGUAAUCAACCAGAAAGUCACGGCUAACUACGUGCCAGCAGCCGCGGUAAUACGUAGGUGGCAAGCGUUGUCCGGAUUUAUUGGGCGUAAAGCGAGCGCAGGCGGAAGAAUAAGUCUGAUGUGAAAGCCCUCGGCUUAACCGAGGAAUUGCAUCGGAAACUGUUUUUCUUGAGUGCAGAAGAGGAGAGUAGAACUCCAUGUGUAGCGGUGGAAUGCGUAGAUAUAUGGAAGAAUACCAGUGGCGAAGGCGGCAUCUCUGGUCUGCAACUGACGCUGAGGCUCGAAAGCAUGGGUAGCGAACAGGAUUAGAUACCCUGGUAGUCCAUGCCGUAAACGAUGAGUGCUAAGUGUUGGGAGGCUUCCGCCUCUCAGUGCUGCAGCUAACGCAUUAAGCACUCCGCCUGGGGGAGUACGACCGCAAGGUUGAA
rnacentral:rRNA from 1 species